AUGCAGCUUUUUUAAUAUGAAAAAAAUACAAAAUUUUUAUGAAAAUGUUAGAAAAUACAAAUUUCAAAAAUAAGUUAGAACAAAUAAAUUAUGUAGUAGUACCUAGGUAUUGAAAAUGUUACUGCGUGAUACUACUAUCCCUAAUAGCAUAAUGAUCGUCAUGGAAUGGUCGUGGGACGGUCUACACGGACUUUGCUACUAUAACAGAAAGCGCCUGUUUGAUUCAUGGACCGGUCCGGGAGUCAAAAAAAGGUUCAGUAGGAUUCUGAACGUCCAAGUUCAGACUGUUCGCACGACCGCUUGCCAGGACCCGACUGGGAGCCAUUUUAAAAUGGUCAUAAAAACGUCCUAGAUA